rnacentral:rRNA from 1 species
UACGUAGGGUGCGAGCGUUGUCCGGAAUUAUUGGGCGUAAAGAGCUCGUAGGCGGCCAACUAAGUCAGACGUGAAAUCCCUCGGCUUAACCGGGGAACUGCGUCUGAUACUGGAUGGCUUGAGGUUGGGAGAGGGAUGCGGAAUUCCAGGUGUAGCGGUGAAAUGCGUAGAUAUCUGGAGGAACACCGGUGGCGAAGGCGGCAUCCUGGACCAAUUCUGACGCUGAGGAGCGAAAGCCAGGGGAGCAAACGGG